CUCAUCAAACCGAUACCACCAAUAUCGGUCGAUAUUAAGUAUCCGUUCAAAUAUCAGCCCAACCUUAAUAAUCAACUUAUUAUGAACGGUUAUAUUUUAUCAUCGGACAGAGAUCGCGUCGAUCGGAGAAAUUGAAUCGUUUCUCCAUCGCGUCGUCGUUACGAUGGUACGUAAUUACAUUUUUCGUUUUCACUGAAGACCUGUCCAUGCGUACAACUGCAGCCGGAUGACGAGUCCGCGGAUAUGUCAGAAUCAAUUGCUUUAAUGCUCCCUCUACAAUCAAUCUUGACAAUAUACAAAUGAAUCGAUGAUUGCAGAAACGACUUGUGCCAAAAAAGGAAAAAGUCGAUUUAACCUAUAUCAAUUUACAAUGUAUAUAAUUCUAGAUAACGAAAU